GAGAGAAGCUCGAGCUGAGAGAAGAGGAGCCGCGCACACAACUGCCCCUCGCUGGAAACUUAUCCCAGAGAAAAAAAUCAAUAUUCAAGAGUCCUGACCAUUUUUCAGAAGACUGGCCAUUUUCGUCUACAUGGAUGUCUGCAAGGCUUCUGACACAUGUCAUCCUGGUCUCUGAAAUGGAGAUAGAUGGAUUCGAUGGGUCAACCAUUCAGUUUAUAAGUUAUUGCCUCAUGUCUCUAUGUCCAGGUGGAGGCCAAUGGUGUCCCUCAGGAGUCUGUCUUAGGACCAGUGCUGUUUAAUACCUCUGUCAAUGACAUGGACAAUGGGAUUCAGUGCACCCUCAGCAAGUUUAUAGAUGACACCAAGCUGACUGGUGCAGUUGAUACAACAGAAGGAAGGGAUGCCACCCAAAGGGACCUGGAAAAAACUUGAGAAGUGGACCCAUGUGAACCUGAUGAGGUUCAACAGUGCAAAGUGCUGCACCUAUGCUGGGGAAAUCUCAAACAUCAGUACGGACUGGGAGAAGAAAUCAUUGAGAACAAUGCUGCAGAGGACUUGGGGGUAUUGUUGAAUGAAAAGCUCAACAUGAGCCAGCAGUGUGCACUUACAGCCCCAAAGGAUAACUGCAUCCUGGGUUGCAUCAAUAGAUGAGUAGCCAGAAGGUGGAGGGAGGUGAUUGUGCCCCCCUGCUCUGCCCUUGUGAGGCCCCGCUUGGAGUUCCCAGCAGAAGCAGUAUGUUGAUCUCUCAGAACAGGUCCAGAGGAGGGCCACGAAGAUGAUCAAGAGGCUGGAGCACCUCUCCUAUGAAGAAAGGCUGAGAGAGGUGGAACUGUUCAGCCUACAGAAGAGAAGUCUCUGGGGUGACCUCAUUACGGCCUUUGAAUACUUAAAGGGGACUCUCCUACAAAGUAUUAGAGAGUUGUGUUUUGUGUCCAGCUAUGUAUCAUUAUUGUAAAAACUCCUGGGGAUGGGGUAACUCUAUCAUUGUAUUUGGAGAUUUGUUGCACAUUUGCCAAGUCUGCAUGCCAUUGUACAACCACAUCUACCAUGAUCACCUUCUUUCUUUUCAAGUGCUCUUAUACAACUUUGUGUAAAAUAUAAGCAUCCUGGUUUGCAAAACAGGUUGCUUCUUGGUUUUAUCAGAUCAGCAACUUCGCUUUUAGCAACUUCCAAAAGGAAUUAAUGACCCCUCCCCAAAGCUUUCUGCCUUCUAUUUUUUUUUUUUUUUGUCUGAUCUAUAAUCAUCGUCCCCUUACUUCAACCUUCUUUCAGUCUCAAGUGCAAUACUUGUUUGCUAACACUUCAAUUGAGAAAAGGACUGCUUCCUCUUCUUUCUUAGCAGUCUUUCUUAUGGGCAUGUGAUGUCAACAGCCAACUAUAAAUUCCACCAUAAAAUCUUAGUUUAAUCAAAGUUAAGGGCCAAUAAAAUUCAAAAUCUGGGAGUUGCAGAGUUCUGGAAGUUCUAAGAAAAUGUGUGGUAUGAAAAAUAUAAAUAGUGUUCUUGAUUAAAUUUAAGUGAGUUUUGCCACUGUCAGUCCCAAUGUUGUUUAGAGACAAAUUCUGAAGUGACGUAAGUUUAUGUAGUCAUUAAUGUAAUAAUUAUGUUGUCAGCAAAGGAUGUAGUCAGUGAUUUUAGAAGAACAUACUUCUGUAAUGGUAUAAGGAGCUCACAAAAAAAAAAAAA